UUUAAACGUAAUAGCAAUUUAGUACAGUUUCUAUUGUUUUUUCUUUUGCAUAUUAGGUGUAUUUUCUGAAAUUCUUCUUGUAUAUCUUUUGUAACAUAUUUAUGUGUUUUACUUUAGUGAUUUCUUACAGCAAUACUUUGAAGAUCCUCACUUAUUCUAAUUUAAGUACUAUGCGAUUCUCUUUAGUAAACCAUAACGAAUUAUCAACAAAAUUCUGGCAGUUAUCUAAUUAGGUUCACAAACACAUCCUCCUACAUGUUCUUUGUUUAUCUUUUGGAAGAUUUUCAUGGCAAUUUACGAAUGACAUUCUUGAAAGCAUAUAUUCAAUGCAAACUUCAGAAAUUCCUAUAGAGGACCCUCCAGAAAUUUCACCAUGAAUUCUUCUAAAAAAAAAACUCAAUGCUUAAGAAACUCCCCAUGGAUUAUUUCAGAAAUUUCUUUGGGGAUUCUUUCAGAAAAUUAUCCAUGGAUUCCUGACAUACUAACAGCUUUAAAAAAAAACCCAGAUUAAUCCACCUAGUGGUGAUAGCGCCUUUCUCGUCGAAUAUGUACUAAUAAUCUUUCCGUCGACGCAAUCAAUCUUGCCUUAGAGUCAGUGAUCAGUCCCAAAAUUUGGGGCUCAAAUCCCUGAGCUUUGGUAACGGACGAUAAGGAGGAAAUGCUCAUAACAGCCAUCUGGGACUGUACCACCUACGAAUUUUUGAAUCAUGAGAAUACUUUAUUUAGAAAUUCAAGGUCAUCAUCGAAUUUGGGCACUUAUUCCUACGUUAUGUUCAACGUAUGGGCAGUGCCGAAAGUAUCAGAUCUUUUAGUUGACUGCUUGAUAAUCUUCACUGGAGGCUGAUUCAUACCAAGAUGACAAUUACUAGCCAGGAUACAACUUUUUCACAGAUCAUUUUGACAAAGUUUAAUCUGCACACUUUAUGCUAUAUUUUAUUAUCAUUGGUUACAAGAUCCAUGUAAAAUUUGUUAUGUAGUAAUGCCAAUGCUAUAUCACAUUCAAAUAUAAACCACAUUACAGAGCUCGCUCUCCAGUCGCAUCAACAUUUUGCGCAGUAAUUUUAGACGCAAAUAAAGAUGUCAAAGAAUGUUCGGGGCUGAUGCGCUUAAAUUUUAAUUUUUCCAUAUAACGUUGACCUAUCCUACUGUCAAUUUACGUCUCAGGAAUCUAAAGUUGUGUGAUUUAAUGAGAUCGCUUUUGUUUUUUUUUAGGUGUUUGGUUCUCUUACACAUAUCCAUCGCUUGCAUUGAUUUAGUUCACUUUCGUAAUUCCGCUGAAGCACCCAACGCUGCUUCUGCAACACCACCGGUAGCCUCUUAUGUAGUCUCAAUGUUACGAACGCGACGCGUGAAGUACAUUAAUUUCUAACAACUAGAGCACACUAAUUCCAAUCAUUUCCUACAUCUAGCAUUAAGCAAAUCGCUUGUAAUAAUCUAACGCAAAAGCUUGUAUAAUAAUCGUAGAAGUAACGUUUUGUGAAUCGUGUUGGUCACAUAUUCAUGACAACCAGUGUAAAUUGCAAUAUGCAAAAUCAAUUAGAUCGAAUUAAAAACGAGCGACCUUUCACACAACGUUGUAUACGAUAUGCUACGAUAGCGCAGCAUCGAGGAUGACUGAUCAAGAACGGAACAAACUGCGCGUGCGUAGUAAUCGAUUAGCCCGGAACGCAUACUCAUAGCAUGCGUGGGGAUGAAUCAUUCUAAUUCAUAUUAGAAACGAUAUCAUAUUCAAGUAUGUUCACGGUUUCACAGCGUAAAUGCGCAAGCGCGGUAUGGAAUUUCACCAUCGGAUUUAAUGUUGCGCAAUCGGAUAGCACUUACACAUAAGCAUGAUAUAUAAUUACGCAAUAUUGUGAAAUUCAUUAAACUAGAAUACAAGCUACGCCAUUUGUAAUUGUUAGUUCCAGACAUGCACCGAUAGGAUAUAAAAUUGUAAUCAAUUAUCUAUGCUCACAACUAACGUAAAGUCAAGAACACAACCCCAAUGUAUUGUAAUGGUCAAAGUACCAGAAAAGGUUUUGAUCAGGGAUUAAUUAUUUGUUAGCAAAACUUGUUGGAAAGAUUCAUUGCAGGAUUGUAUGUAUACAAGUUAGAAUUUUGAUGAAUCAUGAGUUAAUUAAUGAUGUAAAGAGGGUGAGCAUAGUUUCUGGACGAUACACAUAUAAUUAAUAUGCUUUACGUAGGAAUCAGGAAAAGACAUGUAAAAAGAGGGUGCGAAUAAUGUCUGGACGAUAGUAUAAAAAGCGAUCGAACAAUAAAGACGGUAGCAGUUUUGCCUUGUACGUCACAAGCUACAGAACGCUCAUUCACUUGCUACUCGAAAUCCUUCUUACCAAGCACUUUGAGAAGCUUAAUCUUUUCUAAUCCCUCCUAUUACCCAAGCCUUCGAAUGCGAAAGGAGUUGGCUGGAGCUUGAUUGGAAAAUUUAAGUCUUUGAAAAGAGUUACUUAGUAUUUAGAAUCGAGGAGUCUAAAUCAUACUGAAUCGAUCAAACUUUUUCCACUCUGGCACGCUACGGUUCCGAAUGCGAGUAACUUUGGCAA